UCCUACGGGGGGCAGCAGUGAGGAAUAUUGGUCAAUGGUCGGGAGACUGAACCAGCCAAGCCGCGUGAGGGAUGAAGGUACAGAGUAUCGUAAACCUCUUUUGUCAGGGAACAAAGGCGGGGACGUGUCCCCGGCUGAGUGUACCUGAAGAAAAAGCAUCGGCUAACUCCGUGCCAGCAGCCGCGGUAAUACGGAGGAUGCGGGCGUUAUCCGGAUUUAUUGGGUUUAAAGGGUGCUCAGGCGGCCUGUUAAGUCAUCGGUCAACGCCCGGGG
rnacentral:rRNA from 1 species